GACGGGUACCCGGCCUGAGAGGGUGAACGGACACACUGGAACUGAGACACGGUCCAGACUCCUACGGGAGGCAGCAGUAGGGAAUAUUGCUCAAUGGGGGAAACCCUGAAGCAGCAACGCCGCGUGGAGGAUGAAGGUUUUAGGAUUGUAAACUCCUUCUGUUAGAGAAGAUUAUGACGGUAUCUAACGAAUAAGCACCGGCUAACUCCGUGCCAGCAGCCGCGGUAAUACGGAGGGUGCAAGCGUUACUCGGAAUCACUGGGCGUAAAGAGUGCGCAGGCGGGAUAGCAAGUCAGAUGUGAAAUGCUAUGGCUUAACCAUAGAACUGCAUUUGAAACUGUUAUUCUA
rnacentral:rRNA from 1 species